rnacentral:rRNA from 1 species
AGUGAACGCUGGCGGUAGGCCUAACACAUGCAAGUCGAACGGCAGCACAGUAAGAGCUUGCUCUUACGGGUGGCGAGUGGCGGACGGGUGAGGAAUACAUCGGAAUCUACUUUUUCGUGGGGGAUAACGUAGGGAAACUUACGCUAAUACCGCAUACGACCUACGGGUGAAAGCAGGGGAUCUUCGUACCUUGCGCGAUUGAAUGAGCCGAUGUCGGAUUAGCUAGUUGGCGGGGUAAAGGCCCAUCAAGGCGACGAUCCGUAGCUGGUCUGAGAGGAUGAUCAGCCACACUGGAACUGAGACACGGUCCAGACUCCUACGGGAGGCAGCAGUGGGGAAUGUUGGACAAUGGGCGCAAGCCUGAUCCAGCCAUACCGCGUGGGUGAAGAAGGCCUUCGGGUUGUAAAGCCCUUUUGUUGGGAAAGAAAAGCAGCAGGUUAAUACCCCGCUGUUCUGACGGUACCCAAAGAAUAAGCACCGGCUAACUUCGUG